rnacentral:tRNA from 2 species
GGCGGCGUAGCUCAGCGGUAGAGCACACGACUCAUAAUCGCGAGGUCGCUGGUUCGAACCCAGCCGCCGCCA